rfam:Heterocephalus glaber contig6029, whole genome shotgun sequence.
GGGGGUGUAGCUCAGUGGUACAGCACUUGCCUAGCAUGCAUGAGGUCCUGGGCUCAAUUGCCAGCAUCACUA